AUUGAACGCUGGCGGCAGGCCUAACACAUGCAAGUCGAGCGGAUGACGGGAGCUUGCUCCUUGAUUCAGCGGCGGACGGGUGAGUAAUGCCUAGGAAUCUGCCUGGUAGUGGGGGACAACGUUUCGAAAAGAACGCUAAUACCGCAUACGUCCUACGGGAGAAAGCAGGGGACCUUCGGGCCUUGCGCUAUCAGAUGAGCCUAGGUCGGAUUAGCUAGUGGGUGAGGUAAUGGCUCACCUAGGCGACGAUCCGUAACUGGUCUGAGAGGAUGAUCAGUCACACUGGAACUGAGACACGGUCCAGACUCCUACGGGAGGCAGCAGUGGGGAAUAUUGGACAAUGGGCGAAAGCCUGAUCCAGCCAUGCCGCGUGUGUGAAGAAGGUCUUCGGAUUGUAAAGCACUUUAAGUUGGGAGGAAGGGCGGUAAGUUAAUACCUUGCUGUUUUGACGUUACCGACAGAAUAAGCACCGGCUAACUCUGUGCCAGCCGCCGCGGUAACAC
rnacentral:rRNA from 1 species